rnacentral:tRNA from 1 species
GGGAAUAUGGCUUAGUGGUAGAGUGCUUGCCUAGCAUGCAUGAAGCCCUGGGUUCAAUUCCUCAGUGCCA